GAUGAACGCUGGCGGCGUGCCUAAUACAUGCAAGUCGAGCGGUAAGGCCUCUUCGGAGGUACACGAGCGGCGGACGGCUGAGUAACGCGUAGGAAUGUACCCCAAAGUGAGGGAUAAGCACCAGAAAUGGUGUCUAAUACCGCAUGUGAUCCACGGAUUAAAGCUUUAUGCGCUUUGGGAACAGCCUGCGCCCGAUUAGCUAGUUGGUAGUGUAAUGGACUACCAAGGCGAUGAUCGGUAGCUGGUCUGAGAGGAUGAUCAGCCAGACUGGGACUGAGACACGGCCCAGACUCCUACGGGAGGCAGCAGUAGGGAAUUUUCCACAAUGGGGGCAACCCUGAUGGAGCAACGCCGCGUGCAGGAUGAAUGCCUUCGGGUUGUAAACUGCUUUUAUCUGUGACGAUUAUGACGGUAGCAGAUGAAUAAGGACCUGCUAACUACGUGCCAGCAGCCGCCGCAG
rnacentral:rRNA from 1 species